UGGGUUGCCUCCCAAGAGCGCUAAGUUUUAUGUCUUCAGCCAGACAAAAUGUAGAUUCAUUUUUUUUCAACCAUUAUCUAAGAAUGGUUUUGGAAGAGUCCGAGGAAGAACAGUCGGCUGAUGACGAUCUAUGCUCAUAAGGGGAACAGAAUUAGGGAGCGCAUGCUUGACCCCUUCCUCGGAAUGGGCAAGAUAAGCCUCUAAAGGAUCCUUACUAUAAGUUUGUAAGAAAGUCUUCUGAACCAGACUUUCAAUCAUGUCAACUUCAUUGAUUUCUUCAUCGUUUGGUGGUUGUUUACUUAUGUU
rnacentral:lncRNA from 1 species